AAACCAGCACCUCAAGUGGUCAGGAUGAUUAUUGGGCCUAAAGCAUCCGUAGCCUGCUCUGUAAGUUUUCGGUUAAAUCUGUACGCUUAACGUACAGGCUGCCGGGAAUACUGCAGAGCUAGGGAGUGGGAGAGGUAGACGGUACUCGGGAGGAAGUGGUAAAAUGAUUUGAUCUCUCGAUGACCACCUGUGGCGAAGGCGGUCUACCAGAACACGUCCGACGGUGAGGGAUGAAAGCUGGGGGAGCAAACCGGAUUAGAUACCCUAGUAGUCC
rnacentral:rRNA from 1 species